CCUACGGGUAGCAGCAGUGGGGGAUAUUGGACAAUGGGGGGAACCCUGAUCCAGCGACGCCGCGUGAGUGAAGAAGUAUCUCGGUAUGUAAAGCUCUAUCAGCAGGGAAGAAGAAAUGACGGUACCUGAGUAAGAAGCCCCGGCUAACUACGUGCCAGCAGCCGCGGUAAUACGUAGGGGGCAAGCGUUAUCCGGAAUUACUGGGUGUAAAGGGAGCGUAGACGGUGAUGUAAGUCUGGAGUGAAAGGCGGGGGCCCAAACCCCGGACCGCUCUGGAAACUAUGUGACUGGAGUGCAGGAGGGGUUAGCGGAAUUCCGAGUGGAGCCGUGAAAGGCGUAGAUAUUAGGAGGAACACCAGUGGCGAAGGCGGCUCACUGGACUGUAACUGACGGUGAGGCUCGAAAGCGUGGGGAGCAAACAGGAUUAGAGACCCUGGUAGUC
rnacentral:rRNA from 1 species